GUCAGGAUGGCCGAGCGGUCUAAGGCGCCAGAUUUAAGCUCUGGUUCUCGAAAGAGAGCGUGGGUUCGAACUUCACUCCUGACA